CACGUAGGGCGCAAGCGUUGUCCGGAAUUAUUGGGCGUAAAGAGCUCGUAGGCGGUUUGUCGCGUCUGCUGUGAAAUCCCGAGGCUCAACCUCGGGCCUGCAGUGGGUACGGGCAGACUAGAGUGCGGUAGGGGAGAUUGGAAUUCCUGGUGUAGCGGUGGAAUGCGCAGAUAUCAGGAGGAACACCGAUGGCGAAGGCAGAUCUCUGGGCCGUAACUGACGCUGAGGAGCGAAAGCGUGGGGAGCGAACAGG
rnacentral:rRNA from 1 species